rnacentral:lncRNA from 10 species
CGCUGUGUUAACUGUGCAACUCUGUGCUGCUGUGCACGCUCGCCUCUUCAGCCACUAAAAUUAGCUCCAUCUCUAGUCCACAUCCCCAGCACGCCUGUCCUGGUUUCUCUGGGCUCCCAGCCACUUGCGAUAUUGUGUCUCAGAUGCCACACGCUGCCUGCCUGAUGUCACAGCCGCUUCCUAAAACAAGAGAAUCCCAUUGCUGCCACGUGAACUAGCUCAGGCUAGCCUGCUGGAGGAUGAAAAGCUGCCAUGUGAACUAGCUCAGGCUAGCCUGCUGGAGGGUGAAAGACCAUAGGGAGUGGAGCACAGUCAUUCCAGCCGAGGUCAUCCUGGACCAGUCUGCAGCCAGCUAACAGCCAAACAGAAGAGCCACCCAGCUGACCCGCAGCUGACCAAAGAUGCAUGAAUGAGCUCAACUGAGACCAGAUAAAGCACCCAACUGGGCCCAGCCUAAACUGCCACCCUUCAGAAUCAUGAGCUAAAUAAAUGCUUGUCAUUAUAAGCCACUGGGUCUUGGGGAUUGUUU